rnacentral:tRNA from 1 species
ACACCGUUGGUGAAACGGUAUCAUGCGUCGUUGCCAAGUGCAGCCUCGACGCGGCAGGGGUUCGACUCCCUUACGGUGUA